UUUAUUUAUUUAUUUAUGGAGCCUGUAAUCUCAAUUAAUUAAUUACAAUGGGUUUUAGGAGGCAAAAGAAAUAAACUUAUUCCACUCUCAUGUAGUUAACAUUAAAAGUUCCUAACACAAGUAAAAUUUGUCUGAGAAGAACAAUGUCCAUCAUGUCUGUUACUCACAGGCUAUAAAUGAAGUUACUUACCUGGGCUCCAAAACCCAGAAAAUUAACAGCAGAAAAUUAACCUAAUCUUUAAAGAAGUGAAAGCAGGGGCAUUACAGAAAGUCACUUCACUGACACUUUUCUGGUCUUUACAGUUUGGCAGUAAUUUAAAAUAAAAACCUACACGUCUAAAACUGGAUAAUCAUCAAUGUGUAGGAAGAUGUGUUAAUUACUAAGUAGCAGUCCAGGUAAACAAUAAAGAAAUAUGAUAGUCUAACACAGCUCAGUGUAUAGAUUUUUAUGUUAUGAUGAAACUUCCCAGUAUCAAACUCUUAAAAUGCUUUUGUGUAUCAACCGUGUAAUUUGUUAAUUUUUUGGUUCUUUCUUAUUUUCUGCUUAUUUGGAUAUGAUAUUCUUAUGAAGGGAAAACUGACUUAAUAGAAGAGAAAUGGCAUGUUUUCUUAUAAUUUAUAUUUGCACUCCCUCCCAUUUUUCCAGGAUUUAUUUCUGGCAUCUCAGCUACAAAACCUGAUGUUGUGAUACUUUAGGGCUUAAGGCAGAUAGAUCAGUUUUGUCUGUUUACGAAUGACCAGGGAGAUAUGCAGAAAGGUGUUUGGGUAGAGCUUAAUGGGGAUCAUGUUGUCAGAGUAGUAACUUCCGAUGAUACAUACAUUAUUUUUCUGUGUCUGAUUUUUCCUUCACUUCUGAGAAGUGAAAAAUUUUCACUUCUUUAUUUUCACUUCUUUAUUUCCUAUCUUACAUACCACUGUUGUAUUUUUUUCAGAUUUUGUUCAAUUUUCUUUGCUCUUUCUUCUUCUUUUUUUUUUUUUCUUUUUCCUUGCCUUGGUGAUAGCUACUCCUUCUCCUAAUGCUUGAUUAAUUACCAGUUUUCUUGCCUCCUCACAUAAGCAGUUUUUUCCUUUCUCAGGAAAGCUUUCAGAACUAAGUCUUUGGGCAGCCCGGGUGGCUCAGUGGUUUAGCGCCACCUUCAGCCCAGGGCCUGAUCCUGGAGACCCGGGAUAGAGUCCCAUGUCAGGCUCCCUGCAUGGAGCCUGCUUCUUUCUCUGCCUGUGUCUCUGCCUCUCUCUCUCUCUCAUGAAUAAAUAAAUAAAAUAUUUUUAAAAAUGUUAAAAAAAAAGAACUAAGUCCUAAAUGGAGUAUGAGUUUAAAAAGAAUUACCAGUACAAACAUCUAAAAGUUCAUGCAAUCUCAAAAUACAUUUUCAUCAAUAAAUUAUUUUUUGAUAAAAAAUAUAUUUAGGAAAAAAAAAAGGUCACUAUGCUAAAAAUCAUAUUCCUUAUCAUUGUAUCCAAAGUAAACACACUUUAUAAACACCUGGCAGUGUGGAGCUAUUAUUACAUUAAAAAUAUUCUAAUGUAAAUUGUCUACUGGUCCUAACCAAUAAUAAACAUACAACCUUCUUGAGAGAAGUUCAGUAGACCAAUGAUCAACUUAGGUCAGUCUGUGAGACAUCUAGCUUAGAUCAGCCUUCCAAGUCUGAGUCUGUGUUGUGAGACACGAUAUUUCUGCAUCUUGAUAUAAGAUCAGCUGAGAUCUAUAUGUCCCCCUGACCUUUUAGGACUAUUAUGAUUAUGGAACUGGUUUAGCUGGUGACAGGGGCUAGUUUUUAUUAUUUUUUCAGGCUCCUGUUCAUGACACAGAAACAGAUCCACGGGGUUAGAAGUUUGUACAAAGUUAGCUAUGACACUAUCCAUUGGUAGGACUUCAGAGUUUGCUGAAAUAAAAUGAUUUUAUAUUUAUUCAUUUGGAUAAUAAAAAAAUUCCAAAUCUAUUAAAAGGAAAUUCCCAGAAACUUCCUAUUUAAAAAAAAAAAAAA
rnacentral:lncRNA from 1 species